GGGCGGGGGGAACCCCGGGGGCAGCCGCUCCCCUGAGGCAGCCACGCGGUGCCGUUGCAGAUGAGCAGGGCGAAGGCGGACGAGGAGGAGUACUGGCACAGCUCCAAGUUCCGGGCCUUCACCUUCGACGACGAGGAUGAUGAGCUCUCGCAGCUAAAGGAAUCCAAACGGGCAGUAAAUAGUCUUCGAGAUAUUGUUGAUGAUGAUGAUGAUGACGACCUUGAGAGGGUCAGCUGGAGUGGAGAACCUGUGGGAAGUAUCUCCUGGUCAAUCAAAGAGACAGCCUCCAGCAGCACUAGCUCGCUGGAUGGCCGAGACUCCAGCCUGCAGAAGGGCUCUUCCUCCUAUGCUGCUUUUCCCAAACAAGUAUCCUCCUACUCCCUAAGCAGCCUGUUCAAAGGACGAAACAAACUUCCAAGUUUCCAGUCCCUUUCAGAUGCCCUUUCUGACACAGGAGUUAAAAACUAUGCCCCAGAGCUGCGCAGACCAAAAGCUGAAUAUAAGGAUUACAGCAGUGAUUGGAGCCCCAGAGAUACAGUCAGGCGAAUGCAGAGGGGCAAGGUGUGCUCUUUAGAGAGAUUCCGCUCCCUGCAGGACAAGCUGGUGCUCUUGGAUGAAGCUGUGUCUGGACAUGAUGGGAAUGUCAUUACAGCUGUCCUGAUAUUCCUGAAACGGACGCUAAGGAGAGAGAUCUUGUUUCGGGAGCUGGAAGUGCGGCAGGUGGCCUUGUGUCAUCUGAUCCAUUUCCUCAAAGAGACGGGUGAGCAGAAGUUUCUUCUGGAUCUGCUCAGGUUCCUUGACAGAACUGAGGAAGUUGCUCUGUCCCAGUACCGAGAGCAUUUGAACAUCCAGGAUGUAGAAAAAAGGCGGGAAUUUCUGAAAGGCUGCAUCGGGCUGCCAUUUUCAGCUGAGGAUACCUCCCACAUCCAAGACCAUUAUACCCUGCUGGAGCGACAGAUCAUCAUUGAGGCCAAUGAUCGGCACUUAGAGUCGUCUGGGCAGUCGGAGAUAUUUCGGAAAUAUCCUCGCAAGGCUUCAAUUCUCAACAUGCCACUCGUGACCACCCUCUUCUAUGCCUGUUUCUACCACUACACAGAGACUGAGGGAACGUUCAGCAGCCCGAGCAACCUGAAGAAAACAUUUAAGAUUCCUGAUAAGCAGUAUGUGCUGACUGCCCUGGCUGCCCGUGCCAAGCUGCGAGCCUGGGAUGACGUGGAUGCCCUCUUCACCACCAAGAACUGGCUGGGCUACACCAAGAAGAAGGCACCUAUUGGCUUCCACCGGGUAGUGGAGAUUUUGCAAAGGAACAAUGCUCCUGUGCAGGUGCUGCAGGAGUACGUGCGCUUGGUAGAGGAUGUGGAGACGCGGUUGAACCUCGCCACCAAAUACAAGUGCCAUGAUGUUGUCAUUGAGACAUACAGGGAUCUGAAGGAUCGCAUCCAGCUGACAGCAUAUAAAUGCAAGGUGGAGCGAGGCUCUGCAGAUGAAGAGAAGAUAAACAGCAUUCUCAACAACAUGCAAAUCCGAUGGAAGAACUGAGCACCUGUGAAGCAGACUGCUUGGGCGUUGCCUUGCCAGGUAAAGAGGAAACUGCAAAACCCGGUCCAGUGCCAACAGCGCAACUCUGUUACUACUCAUUGCAUCAUCAACACUCCUCAGUGACAGUGGGUGCCUGUGGCUUGUGGGACAGUGGCAGUCAGGCUACUGGUUGAAGGCAGCUGCUGCAGUGUAGCCAGCAAACCCAUGGUACUGAUCCACCAAGACUGAUUCUUUUUGGAAUCUGAUUCUCUUCGACUUGGCUGUAAGCCACGCACCACUUUUGUUGGAAAGAAGGGAAGUUGAUGGCCCCAGCAUGUUUGCUCUGAGUGGCUUAUUCUCACAAGAGGAACAGGAAAAAAGGUGUUGUAUGCACUCCUGCAGAGAGCCAAGACAGCAGCCUCUGCCAGUAUCCUUGUAGUGGCACUCUGCAACUCUUGGAAGAUCCUUUCAUCAGGGAAGAACAGGCACCUGAUGUGGAGCUGGUUAAAGCCCUUCUGCGUUGAAUGGAAAGUAAGGAGGGAUCUCUCUCAGUUGGCACAAACCUGCUGGCCCCAGCAGCAGUUUUAUAUGACAGUGUUAUGCCAGGAAGGAUUGAAUUGCACUUUCUCAAAAACACAACUCCUCAGGCAACUGCUGGCUUCAUCCUUCCAGAACUUACUGGAAUUCCUUAAAUAAAGCUCUCUCUUUCUCCUUUGGCUGU